CGGGACGGGUGAGUAACGCGUGGGUAACCUGCCUCAUACAGGGGGAUAACAGUUGGAAACGACUGCUAAUACCGCAUAAGCGCACGGGAUUGUAUGAUCCAGUGUGAAAAACUCCGGUGGUAUGAGAUGGACCCGCGUCUGAUUAGCCAGUUGGCGGGGUAGCGGCCCACCAAAGCGACGAUCAGUAGCCGACCUGAGAGGGUGACCGGCCACAUUGGGACUGAGACACGGCCCAA
rnacentral:rRNA from 1 species